rnacentral:rRNA from 1 species
AUUGAACGCUGGCGGCAUGCUUUACACAUGCAAGUCGAUCGGCAGCGGGGAGGAGCUUGCUUCUCUGCCGGCGAGUGGCGAACGGGUGAGUAAUACAUCGGAACGUGUCGAGAAGAGGGGGAUAACCACCCGAAAGGGUGGCUAAUACCGCAUAAAUUCUGAGGAAGAAAGCUGGGGACCUAGGAAUAGGCCUAGCGCUUUUUGAGCGGCCGAUGUCGGAUUAGCUAGUUGGUGAGGUAAAGGCUCACCAAGGCGAAGAUCUGUAGCGGGUCUGAGAGGAUGAUCCGCCACACUGGGACUGAGACACGGCCCAGACUCCUACGGGAGGCAGCAGUGGGGAAUUUUGGACAAUGGGGGCAACCCUGAUCCAGCCAUGCCGCGUGUAUGAAGAAGGCCUUAGGGUUGUAAAGUACUUUUGUUAGGGAAGAAAAGUCAGCUGUGAAUAAUGGCUGAUACUGACGGUACCUAAAGAAUAAGCACCGGCUAACUACGUG